rnacentral:rRNA from 1 species
AGAGUUUGAUCAUGGCUCAGGAUGAACGCUAGCGGCAGGCUUAACACAUGCAAGUCGAGGGGUAUUGUUCUUCGGAAUGAGAGACCGGCGCACGGGUGCGUAACGCGUAUGCAAUCUACCUUUCACAGAGGGAUAGCCCAGAGAAAUUUGGAUUAAUACCUCAUAGCAUUAUGAAAUGGCAUCAUUUUAUAAUUAAAGUCACAACGGUGAAAGAUGAGCAUGCGUCCCAUUAGCUAGUUGGUAAGGUAACGGCUUACCAAGGCUACGAUGGGUAGGGGUCCUGAGAGGGAGAUCCCCCACACUGGUACUGAGACACGGACCAGACUCCUACGGGAGGCAGCAGUGAGGAAUAUUGGUCAAUGGGCGCAAGCCUGAACCAGCCAUGCCGCGUGCAGGAUGACGGUCCUAUGGAUUGUAAACUGCUUUUGUACGGGAAGAAACACUCCGACGUGUCGGAGCUUGACGGUACCGUAAGAAUAAGGAUCGGCUAACUCCGUGCCAGCAGCCGCGGUAAUACGGAGGAUCCAAGCGUUAUCCGGAAUCAUUGGGUUUAAAGGGUCCGUAGGCGGUUUAGUAAGUCAGUGGUGAAAGCCCAUCGCUCAACGGUGGAACGGCCAUUGAUACUGCUAGACUUGAAUUAUUGGGAAGUAACUAGAAUAUGUAGUGUAGCGGUGAAAUGCUUAGAGAUUACAUGGAAUACCAAUUGCGAAGGCAGGUUACUACCAAUGGAUUGACGCUGAUGGACGAAAGCGUGGGUAGCGAACAGGAUUAGAUACCCUAGUAGUCC